GUUCUUUGGGGUCUAAGCCUACUAUUUUAUCAGUUUUCUGGCUUUCCAAAUAAAGUCACUAUUUUUUGCCCCAACAAUUCCUCACUUGAUUAUUGGCCUGUCAUGUGGCGAGUUGUAUGAGCUUGGACUCAGCAACAGGUUUUGGGAAGCCAUCCAGGAGUCUUACUGCUUAUGGCCAACAGGCUCCGGUUGAGGAAUUUUCACACAAAGCCCUAGCAAGCUGCUGGGAUUAUUUGUCCUGAGGACCUUCCCUUCAAACUUCCCAGAAGCAGCACCCGUUGCCCCAGAGCUUGCCAGCUGGAGCAAAGAAUCCCCAUUUGGGAGCUACCAUGCAGUAGGAGAUAAAAAUGCUGAGAAUCAGCUGUCCUUUGGCCAAGACACUGUGGGAGUCCAGCACUGUGUGGAGGCUACCCUCACAAUACUUUGGCUGCCUGAUGUGAAGAACUGACUCAUUGGAAAAGAUCCUGCUGCUAGGAUAGA